rnacentral:rRNA from 1 species
CAGUAGCCGCGGGAAUACGUAGGUCCCGAGCGUUGUCCGGAUUUAUUGGGCGUAAAGCGAGCGCAGGCGGUUAGAUAAGUCUGAGGUUAAAGGCUGUGGCUUAACCAUAGUACGCUUUGGAAACUGUUUAACUUGAGUGCAAGAGGGGAGAGUGGAAUUCCAUGUGUAGCGGUGAAAUGCGUAGAUAUAUGGAGGGACACCGGUGGCGAAAGCGGCUCUCUGGCUUGUAACUGACGCUGAGGCUCGAAAGCGUGGGGAGCAAACAGGAUUAGAUACCCGCGUAGUCCCUGUCUCUUAUACA